rnacentral:lncRNA from 1 species
CCGCGCCCCCCGGCGGGCGGAGCCCGGCGCCGCGGCCAGGAUUUCCCACCUCGCUCCCGCGACUCCGCUGCGGGGGUACUUAACCGAAACUAGCAAUCCCAGGCGGUACAAGGCCCUCCAUCGUAGGCAAAGCACUACCUGAAUGUAGAUUUGGGCCAUACGUUGGAAAAUAAGACAUGAGAGUAUGCUCCGAUCAACUUUUACUGUUCACUGGACAACUAUUUUGGGAAUUUGCAGACCUAUAAAGCCCAUCUAUAAAUCUCAAGCAUGUCCACUUUCAGAGAAGAGAAAUGCUGACAACCAUUUAGUCUCUGAGGACAACACUUUUAAAGUGUAACAAUGUGGCAUCCAGAGCUUAUCCAGAUGAGCGGAGAGCAAAUGAAUUUCCUUCUGCUCCCCUGUUGAAGAGGAGAGAAAAAUUCUUCAAGCUUUAUACAGGACUCCAUCAUAGGACUGGAGAGAGAUUGGAUGUCAGAGUGAUUGAUGUGCUCCUACUGGAAGAAGGCAAACAUCCAUAUGUGAACUGCCUGUGGGGUUUCCAAGGAAAGGAACGGCAGGCAGCCUCUAUGAGCUUAAAGAAGAUAACUGGGACUUUAGUCCUAUAACCUCAAGGAACAGUAUUCUGUGAACCAUCUGAGAAGCUUGGAAGAGGACCCCAAACUCCAAAUAAGAAGCUCAGUGUGUCUGACACCUUGACUGCAGGCUUGGGAGGUCCUGAGCAGAAGAUCCAGUUCAACAGUGCCUGGACUCCUGAUCCACAAAAACUGAUAACAAAUAUUUAUUGUUUUAAGAUGCUAAGUUUGUAGUCAUUUUUUAUACAGCAACAGAAAACUAAACACACACAUAAACAGUUAUAAGUGCUCACUGUAUAUGAGGCUUUUCAUUAAUAAUCUAUAUUUUAUAAUAGAAUUAGAAUAUAGAUCUGUGAAGCUGAAGACACUCAAUCCUUGCUAGAUUUAAAUCAGGAAAAUCAGCUGAGAAUCAUUCCUUGAUAGAACCUGGAAAACAAGACCCUAUGAGAGACCCUGGGAAUUACAUUAAAUUCACUGUGGUUCCCAGUGUCACUGAAGAGGUUUUCCUUUCAUAGUCAGGUAGUCACCAUACUGUUAAGCAUUUGAACACAUGGGCAACUUCCAGAAUAGUUAUGACAUUGAUAUACCAAUCUCCAAAAUUCCUAGAAUACCAUGUUUUCAUGGUUGACCUUCAAAUCAGUCAGUUCUUUGUAACAUUGAGCCAUAAAGAUAGGGCAAAUACUUAAUGUUUUACAUAUAUUCAGAGAUUGACCCUCAAAAUACAGCCCAGAGAAACUCAAAAGAAUUAACUCUAUUUCUUCAAAUUGUGUGACGCCACCAAGGCCAGAUGACUUCAGCAUUGGGAAGGCAAUAUCCAGCUGUCAUCUUCUUGAUCCUCAUAUGCUACUACUAGCAUCUAGCAUUUACUGAGCAGAUAGUUUUAUUGUCCAGUUUUUAAAGAUAAGAAAAUUGAGGUAUUAGGAAAGUUAAGUUGGUUGCCUAGGGAAACACGAAGAUAUAGCCCAGAUUCACUCCCAGGCAGGCAGAUGCCAGUGUCUGCUCUCUUUACCACCGAAAUAUCCUGCUACAUGUACAAUUUCAAUAAAUAUCUGGACUUACUGGAACAAAACAAAUCAACAACAUUCUUAUUUUCUUUCUUCAGUUUAGAUUAAAUAAUUUAAAUGUCUUCUUAAGAAGCUACAGUUUUUUGAGGCACAGAGGGAUAGGAGGGUAGGUCCUACCAGUUGAGUCACUCAGCCCUAUAGUUG